GUUGACCUCGGAUCAGGUAGGAAUACCCGCUGAACUUAAGCAUAUCAAUAAGCGGAGGAAAAGAAACCAACAGGGAUUGCCCCAGUAACGGCGAGUGAAGCGGCAACAGCUCAAAUUUGAAAUCUGGCCUCACGGCCCGAGUUGUAAUUUGCAGAGGAUGCUUUGGGUGAGGCGCCGCCUGAGUUCCCUGGAACGGGACGCCACAGAGGGUGAGAGCCCCGUCUGGCUGGACGCCGAGCCUGUGUAAAGCUCCUUCGACGAGUCGAGUAGUUUGGG
rnacentral:rRNA from 1 species